rnacentral:tRNA from 1 species
UACUAUGUGGCUGAAAUUAGGUAUUGGUCUCUUAAACCAAGUUAUAGUUUAUACUCGUAGUUG